UUUUAUGGAGAGUUUGAUCCUGGCUCAGGAUGAACGCUGGCGGCGUGCCUAAUACAUGCAAGUCGAGCGAACAGACGAGGAGCUUGCUCCUCUGACGUUAGCGGCGGACGGGUGAGUAACACGUGGAUAACCUACCUAUAAGACUGGGAUAACUUCGGGAAACCGGAGCUAAUACCGGAUAACAUGUUGAACCGCAUGGUUCAACAGU
rnacentral:rRNA from 1 species